AUUGAACGCUGGCGGCAUGCUUUAUACAUGCAAGUCGAACGGUCACACGCCGCGCUUUCCUCUCUAGUGUUGACCGCGUGCGUAAUGCUACCACACGUACCCCCUCCUUAUAGAUCUCUGCUCACUUCAGUAGCUAAUACCUCAUACCAGCUAUUAAUUUAAGCGGGGGGGCUCAAGACUUCGCGCGGUUCUUGCUGUCGCUGUCAGAUUAGCUAGUUGGUGAGGUAAAGGCUUACCAAGGCAACGAUCUCUAGCUGGUCUGAGAGGACGAGCAGCCACACUGGGACUGAGACACGGUCCAGACUCCUACGGGAGGCAGCAGUGGGGAAUUUUCGACAAUGGGCGAAAGCCUGAUCGAGCAAUGCCGCGUGAAGGAAGAAGGCCUUCGGGUUGUAAAAUGCUGUUAUAAGGGAAGAAAAGGUUCGGGUGAAUACCCGGAGAUAAUGACGGUACCGAAAGAGAAAGCACCGGCUAACUACGUG
rnacentral:rRNA from 1 species